GCGGACAUAGCGGAAGUGACGGGCAUUGCUUCAUGUACGCCGUAAAUUCGCCAUUGAACCUCCGCGUAAGACAUACGUAAUACCCGCUAAAGCUCUCCCGUGUGUGUGUGUGUUUUUUUAACGCAUUCGGUGUUCGGAAGUGACCUGCCCGGUGACACAUACCUUGCCCAGGCUGGUGUGUUUUUUUUACGUUUGGAGGUGAAGAAUAAAUCCAGUCAAGCUGGGGAGAAGCCAGGAAAUGUCCUACUACUCAUCGUCCCGCAGUUCGUCCAGGGCAUCCGACUGCAAGGUGUACGUGGGUGACCUGGGCAACGGUGCCGCCAAGGGGGAGUUGGAACGGGCGUUCAGCUACUAUGGCCCGCUGAGGACCGUCUGGGUGGCCAGGAACCCGCCAGGGUUUGCUUUUGUGGAGUUUGAGGAUCCAAGAGAUGCUGAAGAUGCUGUUAAAGGCACGGAUGGGAAGCUCUUGUGUGGGUCACGUGUACGAGUGGAGAUGUCAACUGGCAUGUCCAGGAAGGGCCGCGGACGCCCCAGCCGUCGCCAGUUUGACCCAAAUGACCGCUGUUACCAGUGUGGGGACCGCGGUCAUUAUGCCUAUGACUGCUACCGCUUCAGCAAGCGAGGAGGAGGAGGAGGAGGAGGAGGACGUCGCAGCAGGUCCCGAUCCCAUUCUCGAUCGCGGUCCAGGUCCAGAUCUCGUGGGCGCCGCUACCGCUCCCGUUCUCACUCUCGCAGCCGUAGCCGCAGCAGGAGCCGCCGCCGUUCCCCAUCAUACUCAAGGCGCAGGAGCAGGUCCGGCUCUCAAGCCCGCUCCAAGUCCAGGACUCCAGUGAGAAGUCGUUCCAGGUCUCGUUCUCGGUCCAGAUCAGCACCAAGACGCUCUGCCUCCCGCUCCCGCUCUCGGUCACAGUCGGCCAAUCACAAGAAGAACAGGUAAACUUCAAGUCUCCCGUAUGCGCAAGAAUUGAGCUCUAGUUUUUAGACCUGCCCGGGCCAGCAAAUAACACUUAACAGGAAGAGUUACCAUUAGGUUCUAGAUGAUUCUGUCAGAUAUGUCAGCUGGAACUACAGCUGUUGAUUUCCAGGAGACGACAGUAGUCCAGCUAGUUACAGCUCCAGUCAGCCGUAUUGACCAGAUCUUUCUUCCAAACCUGGGGUAUCUUACUGCCGCCGACCGCCUUCCAUGCUGAGAUGAGCGAUCAGAGGACCCCCGACCCCUCUACCACCGCUGACAUAUUGGAAUCAUCGGCCUCUGCUGUCAGCCAUGUUGGUGUGGCAGGGUAUACUCUGCAACGUUUGGCUUGUGCGAAGUGUAGGGCUAAAUAAGUCAAAUGAUGUUCUUUACUUUUUAAUUAAGUUCAGCUAAAAGCUGAAGAGCGUCUUAACUGUUAAUAUGUACUCUUGUUUGCUAAAUUCAUGUUUAGGCUGACAGAAUGAUAAAUGUUACGCAAGUUCAAUGAAUUGAUGAUUCCCAGCCUGAGUGGCUAGACAAGAGAAUUCAGAUUUUUAAAUGCAGAGCAGCAGCUAAAGUUUAAGAUCUUUGCAGCAAAGUUUUGUUUAUUUUUCAUAUUUUCUUUAAAGUGUGUGCUGGGAGCUGCGCACUGCGUUGACACUGCAGCUGAUCCCAGGCCAAGGGUCUGCCAGCUGGCGGUGUGUACAUCCUGCGGGAGGGUGACUAGGCGCUGAACUGAGAUCAGCCUUCGCCUGGCGUUAGACAGCGAGAAUCUCCCCCCGCGCAGUGAAUGGGUGACCGUCUGUCCAACCGACGCACACGCUCAGACGAGAUCAGCCCGUGCACACUUACAGUUGUUCUCCUAGAGUCACCCAGGCCGUCAGCCAGCCAGCCGGCAGAUCUACCAGAGCGUCGGCAUGAACGGUUCAGAGUUCGACCAUUUAAAAUCCAUUACCUACCUACCAGACCCCCUACCUACCAGAGCUCUUCGGCCUCUGACUUAGCUUCUGAAAAUGAGAGCAAGCUGACCUGAGAUCAGUCUUCAAGAGCGUAGUCAUCCGUCCUUCAGUGCUUUCAACCUUCGCUUCUCUGUACUUGUUUUUUCUGCCAGUGUCUCCAAAGUCGUUCCCGCUCAGCAACACCACCACCACCACCACGAAGUCCAUCGCCAGCCGCCAACUGAGUGACAAACAAGACACCCCUCAAUCCCAACCCCUGUUCUCUUUUACAGCAGCGCUCCCAAGUUUUCCAUGUGUGGUUAUGCUUCAUUUCUUUCGGAGAUAAAGUGCAGCUUCAGAACACCUUUUUGAUUGGCGGAAGGUUUUAGGACAUCCUUCACAUGUAGUUUGUAUGAGAUGCAACGCCUACAUCUGCAUGGUGCUGUAUGUUGCAGUGGACUUUUAAUAGUGACAUUUGAACACUUUUUUGCUCCUGUGCGCUCAUUAAGCACCCAAUUCCUUAAAUAUGUAUAUUUCUGUCCUGCACUGCUCCCAUCCAUUUUUUCUUCUCUCGAAGUUUGUGUGCUUAAAAAGAUGUUCUCGGCCCUUCAGGUUAUUCCUGUGUAUUAUUUGAAAUUGUUUUUGGUGAUUCAGUUAGAAUUUGGAUGGGCUCCUGCUUGUACUGUUUGAGACGCUGGCAUUUUUAUUUUUCAAUAAAUCUUCCCAACAUA